rnacentral:tRNA from 1 species
GGCCUCGUGGUCUAGUGGUAUGAUUCUCGCUUCGGGUGCGAGAGGUCCCGGUCGAUUCCCGUGAGGCCC